rnacentral:lncRNA from 1 species
GGCUGUAGACUUUUGUUUUCGAUGUAUGCAAACAAAAUACAAUAAAAUUCUAACUUUACUUAUUUAAAAAUUGUUAUAUCACCAAUUAACAUUUUCAAAUAUAUCCUUUAUAAUCAAAUUUACUGUGAAUCUAAAUCAUUCAUUUUAAAUUCUGAAAACUUUAAUGAGUUCAAAUUUUGAUGCCGCGGAGUGCUGCAAAAUAAUAAUUUGGUCAAUUUGGACUUGAGCCUAAAUAAAUUCCUUACAAGGACUAUUUUAUUUGGACCAAGAGUGGGACGGCUAGUCCACAUGUUAUAUAAUCAUAGUGUGGUAAGGCCCAAGCCUGGCCCAACAUGUGGCAAUACCUAAGGUCCUUGGGCAAAAGCCCAUUUGAUUAGCAAGGGUAUUGUAGAAAAUGAUUGAAUAUAUAUGGGUGAAAUACCACGGAUCACCGUGAGGUUUUGAAGUUUAAUACACAAAAGCCACCUGAUGUUUGAGAACUGACGUGAUAUUCCUGCGUUUUGUAAAAUUGUAACAGAUCUUCCCAUUUUUAUACUUACCACUCUUGAGAUUCGGGUAAUACACAAAGUACCCAUGACGUCAAUCAUCCAUCAGUAAGAUUGACUGCCCAUCCAUGACGUCAGCUUGGAAUAGUGCGAUUUGAAAAUACUAUAUAUAUUCCUUAUUUUUGACAAAGUUAUUAUUUCACUCACACGGAAGUUGAUUGAAUGACAAAAAGUGAAUCAUAUUGACCCAUUAACUAUUUAAUUGUAUCAUUUACACCCUUUUCGUGGUCACUGUCAUUUCUCAAACGUCAUGGUGUUUUGUGUAUUAACCCGGAACGUCAGGGGUGGUCAGUGUAUUUCACCUAAUAUAUAUAUAUAUUUAUUUAUGUGUUUGUUUAAUAAAUAAAUAUGGUUAAAGUGCAAGAAAGUAAAUAGUCUUCGUACAAGCGACAUAUGGAUGUAGACUUUUGUUUUCGAUGUAUUUCAAAAAAUAUAAUAAAAUUCUAAUUUGCCUAUCAAAAUUGUUUAUCCACAAUUUAAAUUCCAAAUAUACCCUUUCCUAACAACUUAUUUCUAAUCAAGUUAUUUUUGCUUAAAAGGGUAAGGUUAGUUUAGGCAAGUCCUAUUAUUUUUGACUUCCAUGAUAUUCAAACUAAAAAAAAAGCGAAAAUUUUGUUUGGUUUAAGUUUUUAGAAUUAAUUUUUAUAGAAUACUUUUUCAAGGAUUGUUUUUUAGAACAAAAUUAAUUUUCAUAUGUUAUUCAAUUUUUUAGCAAAAAUAAUUUUUUAAAAUUUAAAGAUAUCUUCUUAAUAUUUUCUCAAACACAGUGUUCUUUUUAUAGAAAAAAUUAAAAAAUAAAUAUAGAAAACCAUCAAUCAAAUAAUAUUUUUAAAAUUUAUCCUGUAAUACUGAUUCUAAAAACUAAACUAAAUAGAGCCUUCUUGCAAAUUUAUGAUCACGUUCAAAUGCACGAUAAAAAAUAUAUUUUCUACCCAUUUUCCCUUUAUUUCACGCUCGAUUUUGCUUUGAUUAUUCUUUUCGUCCUAAUCAAUUAAUUAAUACGUGGGGGCUAAAAAAUUGAUUAGUUAAUAUUUACUUCUCAUAAUUAAUGAUGGAGUGGAACCCCAUAAGAAUUUUAGCAACAUUUGACCUAUAAAAUAAAAGUAAAAAACACAAAUAAAUAAUACAUACAAAAUAACUAGAUUUCUCAGCUUUGACCAAAGCUUGCAAGCAAUUUGAUUUAAUUUUAUUGAGAAAAUUGUUAGAAGUUUGGUUUUUUACAAUGCAUUGUGAACACACUUUGGGACUAAAUUUGAUUAAAUUUCAUAUACUAAAUUUGAUAAACAAUGAUUGAUUUAUGUUCUCCUAAAUGAGUAGAUAAAUUUAGCAUAUUUAUUUAUCAAAAACCAAAUUGAUUUGAAUGAGAAAUUGUUUCUCAAAGAAAUUCAAUGCAAAAAAAAAUUAUGAACAGACAAAUUUGUUCCACAUGAAAAAUAAAAGAAAGGUGGUUAGUAUAUAACGUCCAGAAUGACUCUUUUUUUUUUUUUUUAAAAACUGGACCCUUGGACAAACCUCAAGUUUUUAAAAGGGAUGAUUAUGUAUAACUGGCCUGUCCAUUGCCAAUGGGACUUAUUAGUUUGACGACGUGGUGCUACUCUGCAGUCGCCCGCUCCAUCUGGUUCCGUUUAUGCGGGUCGGGCCAGGCUUGGGCUUGGACUAAUUGAAUAUUAUUUUUUUGGAAGAAAAUUUAUGCAAUUAUUUUAAUUUUAAAAAUUAAAAAUUACACUUUCAUUCCCGGAGUUAACUUUUUUUUUUGCGACGGUCACACCUUUCAAAAUUUGAACGAAGAGGAAUUUACUAUUUAUUUUCAAUUUUUUUUUAUUUAAUACGCGAACAAGUGCGAUCUUUUAAUUUAUGCAGAAAGGUCCCUGUGCGUAGCUGUUUGACCGAAUGGGUGCAAAUUGGGCUGAAUGGGUGCGUUUUUAAAGAGGUGUGACCCUCCAAAAAAGUGUGAUGACUGUUCUAUAUUUCUCCACCAUUCAGCACUUUUCAUUCAUUCAAAAUCCAUUCUAAGUAAGAGUUAGAGAGUGUUAGAGCAUCCAUCAUUUUCUAGUUUUCAUUUGAGAGAAAUGAGACACUUGAAAGUUCGACAUGAUCUUAUGAUUUGGGGUACUACUAUCCGAAAAUCAUAACUUUUAUAUCCUGUGAGUCGUACGGCAUAUUCCGUAAGUACCAAGUGCGGGUCGUCAACGACUUAAGGACACUGGAUUUAAUUCAGGCAUCAGCCAAAUCAAAUUCUGCAUCCUUAAAUAAUUACUUUGUUUAUAUUUUCUAUUUUUUUUCUCGUCUUUUUCUGUGCUAUACAAAAUCAAAAUUCUUUUACGUUAUUCAAACUUUAUGUUUUCCAAACAAAAAGAACACUUUUUCUAACAAAAAUUCACCGUAACUGAAAUCAUACCGUCUCUGAAUUUAGUUAGAGGAAUGGUUUUCAAAUUAAAAAAUGGAUGGUACAUAUUUAUUUAGUUAUGUGACCCCACACACUUAAUUAAAUCUGAAUUAUUCGCCUUUAAACUUAGUUCAAAUGGUUUUCCCCCUUGGUUACAAGAGGGAUGUUUGUGAUUCGAGUUUAUGGAAUGAAUUGAAACAGGGAAUUAUCUUGAAUAUAUUAACCAUUUCUUUAUUUUUUUACCACCUGGAAGGGGCAAAAGAAAGAUCUUGUUGUUUCUUCAAUAAUUUUUGAUCUCUAAUGGACCUUUCAGUAAGAUUCGAACCCAAAUGAAGUUCUAACAAGGAAAAAGAACGAAUAUAUCUUAUAAGAUUCCCAAGAAAUUCUUCGAUUUCUUCCGGAAGCAGAUGGUUAAUCAUCUAAAAAGCAUCAAAUGUCAUUUACUAUGGCAGAGAAAAAAAAACGAAUUUAAAUCAUUUAUUUUAAAUUCGGAGAACUUUUCUCAGUUUAAAUGCGGAUACCGUAGACUUGCAACAACAAUAGAUUCAAACGUUUAUGAAAAAGUAUCGAAUACCCACUAAUGAUAAUCUAACUUAUUAACUCACUAAUAUUUUAUCUCAAAAAAAAAAAAAGUUGGCCAGCGUCAGCAUUUAUGUACAAUAUGAAAACUCUGGUUGUUUUUUUUUUCUUUUCAAACAAAGAACCAAUUGCAAUGUCAUCAUUUGACUCCACUCGUUUUGGCGACUGGGUUGUUUGAUCAGAGUAAAACCUUGAACAUUACACGUCACAACACAACAACUACUAGUCAAAUCCCGUUAGGCGGAAACGACGGCAAGGGUUAAGUAGCAUUGUUGUUGUUCUUGGUCUUCUCUCUCUCUCUCUCUCUCUCUCUAAUCUUGAUGCACCUCCAACUUUUCCCCUCGUAAUUUCAGUAUAGUUAGGACCGGUUUGGGGUAUUGUUUCUCUUUAGAUUCUUAGUUUUUGAGUUUUUUAGUGAUUUUUUUUUAAAUUAGAAUAAUUUUUUUUUAUAUUUUUAAGACUCCUCUCGUCCAAGGAAACCGAAAAAAUAUAAAAUUUUUGAUCAAACGUAUGACAAACAUUAAUUAAAGACGAAAACAAAAAAAAACUACAAAAACCAUACCCCAAAGAAAAUUUAUUUCUACACUCCAUUUUUUGAUAUCGAUACGCCAAAAUAGGAGUUUAGAAAUCAUACCUAAUGAUGUACAUAAUCAAACAUGGAGUGUGAAAUAAAUUUCCUACCCCAAAUUGGGUUUCAGAUCAUACUUUUUACCCUUUAAUUUUCAAGUUAGAUCUCAAUUUGGUCCCUCGCUUUAGAAUUGCAAAAAUUAAGUCCUCAAACUUCAAACAUGUAUUAAUGCGAAAAAUAAUCAUGCGUACCUUUUCCCCCUUUUUGAAUGGCAACGAGGUAAAGUAACUUCUCUCUAUUUCAAUAUCAGGAGAUACAAAAUACACCCCUCAACUUUAUUUCCAUAUACCCCUCCAUGUCUAUUGCAUAGAAGUCCUCUGUUUAUAUUUUGUGGUCUCCAUGUGUCUCGGGGGGGUAUGACUACGUCGUUAAUAUAAAGUGGGAAAGAACACGUCUUUGUACUGGGAUACAAAGCGAAAGAACCCAAAGCUUACAGCCAGCACUAUAGGUUGAGCAUAAUGGAGGAGAAUAGUACACAGAGAACGUGUUACACCUGCCAGGUAGAAGUAUCACAGUAACAUCUGUGUGCUGGCUAUAGCCUCUCCUGAUGCUUUCUGCUCGUACAGAAGCGCGAAGAGAUGUCACGUUAUUUAAGCCAUUACCUCUACCACGACAGAGACAACUGCGUCACAUCGACAAACUAUAUAACAGACGUGAUUACCACCUCCUAACACACAACACUACGUAGGAUUACACUGGUAGUGUAGUAAAGUUAGAUGGUUCAGAUACGAGGAGUGUAGGGUUCUAGAGUACAUACUCCUGAUAUAGUGACAUUGAUACCUGAAAUGUAUGAGGGGUUACGGUACCGGGGAAGUCGUAAACAUCGUAGAUAUACCAAACAACUUUCCAAAGUUUCCAACUU